AGAAGAAGACCGUUACUUAACUAUAAAUAUAUGUCUGUAUGAUAUACAAAUUGCAACUUAAAAUAUACUUGUAAACAUUAUCAAUUAAGAAAAAGGAACUAAAAAUUCAUAUUAUAAGUUAUAGAUAAUGGAAACUAUCAGGAAUGGAAUGGGUGAGAGGAUUGGAAAAAUUCCCUCUUGACAAAAACUCCUGAACGGGGUUGAGGGAACAUACAAAACAUUUUAUGAAGCUUGUAAAGUGGUCAUUAGCCUCUCAGCAUUGAUUGAACAUACACUUUGAUGAAUGGACAGUUUGUCGAAUCAUCACUUUGUCAUACAGUGCAAAAUGUCCAUUCGACAAAGUGUCUAUUCAGCAAAGUAUCCACGAUCGGUUUAAAGUAAAAUAGUAGCAGGGAGAAUGUUUAUACGCACUCGUUGGAGCAACUUGAAACAAAUAAGUAUUAUAAGAAAAAAAAUAGAAGGUUUUUCCUCGAUUAUUCAUUUCAAUGGAAAAAUAAGUGAUGUUCACUGAAAUAAACGAAAAAGAAUUACAACUUCAAAAUUAA
rnacentral:lncRNA from 1 species